rnacentral:lncRNA from 1 species
AAUUUUCUUAGGCCACAAAGAAAGAUAGAUCGAUCGAGGGCGAUGCCAAGCGGUGGAAACGGAGUCGGUAACGGCGCAGGCACAAGCGGAGGUAGUCAGACGUUCAAGCCUUACCGUCACCUGAAAACCCUAGAAGGGCACACGGCGGCGAUCUCGUGCGUGAAAUACUCGAACGACGGAAACCUUCUGGCAUCCGCCUCCCUGGACAAGAGCAUGAUUCUAUGGUCCGCAACGAACUACUCCCUGAUCCAUCGAUACGAAGGACACUCGAGUGGUGUCUCCGAUCUAGCAUGGUCCUCCGAUUCGCACUACACCUGCUCGGCCUCCGACGACUGCACGCUUCGAAUCUGGGACGCUAGGGCUCCCUACGAGUGUCUCAAGGUGCUGAGAGGCCACACCAACUUCGUCUUCUGCGUUAACUUCAACCCUCCCUCGAAUCUGAUCGUGUCUGGUUCGUUCGAUGAGACGAUUCGGAUCUGGGAGGUGAAGACGGGCAGGUGCGUGCGCGUCAUUAAGGAGGAAGUAAGAUAUGUCCGAUCAUGCGACAAGGCAGCUGACCUCUUCACAAAAUCACUUCCGACUUCGGUAUUCAGAAAACAUAUCCAUAACAUUGGAAUACGUCAUCAGAAGGAUCUAUGACUACUCAUUCGAGGGGGAGCUUACGUAGUUGUACUCUUUUUACCUUACUAUGGUUUUUCCCAUUGGAUUUUCUUGGAAAGGUUUUUAACGAGGCAACAUAGACGUUAAGCAAGAAAUGAUAGUGACACUGGUCUCCAAGGGGGAGUGUUAUAAACGUGCAUGAAUCAAAUGUCAAAAAUGACAGCACCGAAUAACGAAAACUUCGUGUGAAUAUAAUAAGCGUGGAGCUCACUUUCACUAUGCACGCACAGUAACUUUAUCUUUUUAUAACGUUUUCGUUCGAUUGUAACUCGUCCCACACACUUCUCUUCUCUCUCUUUAUAAUAAACUCUCUCUAUCAUAUAUUUAUCUCAUAUCAGUGUUAUUUCUUUCUACGGGUAUAAAAUUUCUCCCUUAUUUAAAUUUCUCGAUGCUAUAAAAUUAUAAGUUAUUUUAUAACACAAUUGGGUUUCAAUAUCUUUAACCAAACCCAAACCGUCAAUUUCAAAAAAGAAAAGUGAACAUUGACGAAUAUGAAACUAAACCAAAUUCUAAUAAAAUUUGACAUCGCUCGAUGCGUCACAAGAGAUCAUUGCUAUGCUUCGUAUAUUGAGAAAGGUGGCCCUUCUUGACUUCUUCUUAUGAUUCGUGCAGAUGCUGUUGGCGCGGUUAAUGGGUACUAAAGGAGAGCUUGCGUCUGGUUUUCAUCUUCUCUGAUCCAUUUCAUUUCAUUCCCAACGGAGAUGGAUGUGAGCAAGGGAGAUGAUGUUGAGUUUUGUUUUUUAUUUUGGAGUUUGGGGCCCCGUUGGUUCUACCAAGCUCUGUUUCUUUCUGACGAUGUUACUCUUUUUUAUGAACUGGCUACAAAGCGUUAAAAAAAUAAAAAUUUGACAUUAAUCUGAAUUCAUAAUUUAAAAUAGAGAAAUUCUAUACGAUAACACUUUUUAAGUUUUUGUCACAAAAAUAACCAUCAAUAGACCAAAAUAAGUUUUAUUAAAAAAAUUUAUCCUAUGGUUAACUAAUCUAGACUUAAUGGUUAGAGUUAAAGAAGUGAGAUUUUAGAACUAGGGUUUCAAAUUUUUUUUUUUUUUUUAAAUAAAAAUAAAAAUAAGCUAUUUUAGUCAUUUUUUUAAAAAACUAUUUUUGUGACAAAAACAUAAAAAUGACUAUUUGAGAGAAUUGUGUUUAAAAUGCAACUAAUAAUUAGAUUAACGAACAAGGUUGACAGAAAAAAGAUAGAUAAAAGUUGCGAGAGGGAAAUUUAUAAAAGCCAAAUUUUGCUCGGUUAUAAUUCGGUAAACCCGGAAGCAAUAUAAUAAUAAUCGAUACCAGCGAACCGAGAGGGAAGAAGAGGGUAAAAAUGUAAUUUAGGAAAGAGAAUAUGUAUAAGAAUUUGGUUCAUGAAUUUUCUUAGGCCACAAAGAAAGAUAGAUCGAUCGAGGGCGAUGCCAAGCGGUGGAAACGGAGUCGGUAACGGCGCAGGCACAAGCGGAGGUAGUCAGACGUUCAAGCCUUACCGUCACCUGAAAACCCUAGAAGGGCACACGGCGGCGAUCUCGUGCGUGAAAUACUCGAACGACGGAAACCUUCUGGCAUCCGCCUCCCUGGACAAGAGCAUGAUUCUAUGGUCCGCAACGAACUACUCCCUGAUCCAUCGAUACGAAGGACACUCGAGUGGUGUCUCCGAUCUAGCAUGGUCCUCCGAUUCGCACUACACCUGCUCGGCCUCCGACGACUGCACGCUUCGAAUCUGGGACGCUAGGGCUCCCUACGAGUGUCUCAAGGUGCUGAGAGGCCACACCAACUUCGUCUUCUGCGUUAACUUCAACCCUCCCUCGAAUCUGAUCGUGUCUGGUUCGUUCGAU